UUGGUAAUUCCUGCCGCGCGCGCAUCGAUGAUCUCCAGCCCGGUUGCUUCUGUCUGCUCGGCGGCUCACAGCGCUGUUGUGACACAGUAGCAGUGUGUGUCGUUAUCUAGUCAAUGCCUUUCUACUGUUUACCCCAGCGAGCGGAGUGAACAUGGGCCGUCGCUCGUCAGACAGCGGGGACAACAGGAGGAAGAGGAGGCAGAGAGGCCGUUCUUCAUCCUCCAGCUCCUCUGGCAGCAGAGUGACCAGCCCCAUCAAACACUCCAGCAGACGAACGCGCUCCAGAGACCGAAACAGAGCCACAGACAGGAGCUAGACACUGAAGAAUGAAAUAUAUAUAAAUAAAAAAAAAGAAGUUUGUCCCUGUAAUCUUUCAUCAAAAUGUAAUAACUUGCUCUUCCUCUGAAACAAUUUUCUUGUUUGACUGACAUCACACGCUCCCUGCCAUGCACCCGUCACAUACAAGCUCUAAAGCAGUUAUUCAGUUUGCAUCCCUAUUCAUGUCAAUGCCAGUUGCUCGGCUGGCACAUUGAGCCC